rnacentral:rRNA from 1 species
CCUACGUGAUGCUGCAGUGAGGAAUAUUGGUCAAUGGACGAGAGUCUGAACCAGCCAAGUAGCGUGAAGGAUGACUGCCCUAUGGGUUGUAAACUUCUUUUAUAUGGGAAUAAAAUGUUCCACGUGUGGGUUUUUGUAUGUACCAUAUGAAUAAGGAUCGGCUAACUCCGUGCCAGCAGCCGCGGUAAUACGGAGGAUGCGAGCGUUAUCCGGAUUUAUUGGGUUGAAAGGUAGCGUAGGUGGAUCGUUAAGUCAGUUGUGAAAGUUUGCGGCUCAACCGUAAAAUUGCAGUUGAAACUGGCAGUCUUGAGUACAGUAGAGGUGGGCGGAAUUCGUGGUGUAGCGGUGAAAUGCUGAGAUAUCACGAAGAACUCCGAUUGCGAAGACAGCUCACUGGACUGCAACUGACACUGAGGCUCGAAAGUGUGGGUAUCAAACAGGAUUAGAUACCCUUGUAGUC